GCCUCGUUAGCUUGGUUGGUAGAGCGUCUGCCUUGUAAGCGCUAGACCGCGGGUUCAAUUCCUGCCGGAGCG
rnacentral:tRNA from 1 species